rnacentral:tRNA from 1 species
GGGCGAGUGGCGGAAUCGGCAGACGCAGCGGACUUAAAAUUCGCAGUCCCGAUGAGGGACAUGAGGGUUCGAGUCCCUCCUCGCCCA